AUAUAAAUAAAUAUAUUAAUAAAUCUUAACCAUAUUUACACAAUCUGAUAUUGCCAUGUUGUUGUUCCUACAACAUCAUAAUUAAUUUUGCUGGAUGACCAUCAUUACAACUGACCUGUAGUUAGUUGGUUACCCCAGUCCAAAUUCAGAAUAUUCCCCUGCCCUCCACCCUUUGACCUAACCCUAACCUCAGAGACACCUGUGCCUAAGACUAACCUCAGUUGUACCAACAUUAAUUAUGAUGGCGAUAUCAGAUUGGUCAUCAAUAUUUGCUCCUUUUCUCACUCACCAUGUCACCUGCACAGUGAAUCAGCACAAAGUAAAGGAACCAAUUGCAUUGUUGACGUGCUGUACGCUGCCUGCUGUUACCAACCAGGCUACCUACCAAACUUUUUUCGAAUUUACUCUAUAUAAACUAAUUGGUCAAAUUCUAAUUUAAGAGUUUAACAACGCCAUAUUUUCCAUCUGUUGACCUCUUACCCAACUUUACUACACCAGGACUUUUCUUGGGCAUAGAACUACUCACCCCUGAACACCCGACGCUAUGUAUCAUUGAAAUACCAUAUCACUGUAAUUGUUUUAGCUUCAACACGGAGGAGAACUAUCGUCUUCAGGUAAAGCUAGCAGAGUUAGAGGCUCGGCUUCUGACGCAAAAGACAGGCAAGGAUAAUGUUAUUGUAGAAAUAGAAAAAACUGCGUCUGUGCCACCAGGAAUAAACAACAGUAUAUAAACAAUAUAUACAGCAGGCAUGUUCUACCGGUGGCCUUGAAAAACUAAAAACUUUUGUCAUCAGCGAUUCCAUUACCCGCAGUAUUAGACUAAAGAAUCAGCCAGCAAUCGUACACUGUUUACCGGGGGGCAGAGCCACCGACGUAGCCGCAAAUCUGGAGCUGGGGCUAGCGAAGUCUAAAACUGGCAAGUAUAGAGAUAAUGUUAUUCACGUUGGCACCAACAACGUUAGGAUGAGACAGUCAGAAAUUAGCCAGCAUGCUAGCAUAGUGGAGUCCCCACACAGCAGUAGACGCCUACGCGGAUCCGCAUCCAAGUCGCGAAACCCGCGUGACUGUCACAUUCGUUUUGGCACCGCCCAGAGGAUCCGCUCCGCCUCCGGGCAGCGCGGUGAAUUCUACUGUCCCACACUGGACCCGUGUCGGAUCCGCUCCGCCUCCGGGCAGCGCGUUGAAUUCUACUGUCCGACACUGGAUCCGUGUCGGAUCCGCAGAAGUGGACGCGCCUUUACUGUAAAGGUUGAACUACAACCUCUUGGUGUGCUCUUGCUACGCCGAGACAAGAGUCAUAUCAGUGGAGAUUUUCUUUCCUGGGAUACGGUUGCGCUGAACUAUCUGAGCAAGCGAGGACAUUGCUUUUGUGCCAGUUGACUGGUAUGAUGACGUGAUAGUGUACUUGCCCAGCUGAACGUGUGGAACGGGCAGCUGCUAACGAGGAGAAGCAUGAGCCAAACUGGCCAAGAUAUGACGUAAAGGUCGUCAGAACUUGUGGUAUGCCAAUUCAUAAAAUUAUU
rnacentral:lncRNA from 1 species